ACCCGCUGCCUCCUGCUGAUUUACGGCCGUUCCCUGUGAAAGAGGUUGGAGGCUACGCGGGAACAAUCUCGCCAGGUUUCCCUGUCUGACAGUCAGCAGGCGAUGGAUGUGCCCUCUUUCUGCGCUGCUGACUGAACGUCGAGUUUAAAUGAGUGUUUCAUUUUUCACAUACUGUGUAUAUAUAUAUAUUUUUUAUUCCUAUUAUACCCACGGAAAAGACCUGAAAAAGAUCACAAGACUUGUUUUAUCUUCUGGAAAUCUGAAAUCAGACAAACUUAUCACUUGGUUGUAACUUCUUAUCCAUAUUUCAGUGGCAUAUACUCUGACCUCAAGUUUGCAAAAUGUUUUUCCACUUUAAAUAAAUGGCAUACUGCUUGUUGCAUUGCAGUAGGGUUGCAUAUGAAUCGAGCAGGGCACGGGCGGGUGGGCUGCGUGACAAAAGGCACCAUAAUCUUUGCUAGAAAGGCCACAAAUGUCAGCGGACAUGUAACAUAACCAUGUCCUGGCUUGCUGGUACAUUAUUGUAUUUUCAAAGCUUUGGGUGGGCACACAGGUCCUGACAUUAAACAGGCUUUGGUUCGCUCGCCUCGGCGUUUCUUUCUCUCUCGCUCUCCUUUAGCCAGUUUCCCCUUUGUCCUCUCUACUGGUCAAGUUAAUAGGUCUUUAACCCUGUGUCAAUGAGCUACGGGCUUUGGUGUGCUCGCCCACACUAUGACAGGUCCCAUCCCAAUUAGGCUGAGAUGCAAGGCCAGGAGACGGCAUCAGUGUGUGUUUGUGUGUAAGCGAUCCUCAAAACAUCGCCCGAGGUGCCGCCAUUGUCGCUAAUGACAAAGAUAAUGGGAUACAGACGCAAACAGCCACAACCACGUACACAGUAAAUCAGCUCACCCUUCGCCCUCCCAAACACAGACAAUAAUUAUUUUACAUACAGAUUCCCACUGGGGGCUUGUGAAGAUAAUACAAUCAGGAGAUUAUUAGCAUCACCAAACUUGAAGCGAUUCAUUUGAUCAAGAGAUUGCCUAAUUUGAUACUGCACAAUUUCCAUUUGUGUUGUUAUUCUGAUGGACAAUAGCUUUUAAUGAUCCAUUUGUUUACAGCUGAGGAUGGUAAUGACCUCACACGAAACACAAAACCAGGCGGCCACAUGGAUUUUAUUCAUAAGGGCCCACAACUAAUCAACUAUCAUUCCGGGGAAGUUCAUUUAUUGCAUUCUUGUUUGCAUUUCCCCCAACAUCUUAAGGACCAUGAAGAUGAACCAGAUUACAGCAAUACAGGAUUCACUGUGUGCCUCGUGGACGGUUAAAAUAAGGGAAACUAAAAAACGACUGAACAGAUAUUUUGUAUGUUAUAAUACUCAAUCUUUUAACUUCAGCCAGAGGUGAAAGUGAAAAAGAAAUAUAGUGUGUACACUUCUUCUCCAACAGCACCACCAAAUCCAACUUAAA
ensembl:lncRNA